CGUUUUUGACAGCGAAAUUAUGACAAAAUUUGAAAUGUGAGUGGUCUGCAAGCUAGAGGGUCGGAAUGUGUUUGGAAACGUGCGUUAUGUGUGUGGUGGAAGCCUUUUUCGUGAUGUUCGAAAAAUGUUGCGAAGCGAUUUGUAAAGGAGCAUGAGUAGAAUGGUGAAUAUGGGGGAGGACGAGCUAGGCCAACGUCGACCGAACCUUUAAAAUGAGACGAAGAAAGGAAUAUAGGUUUGUUUAUGGUAAAAGCUGUGGAGAAAUAGUACUAGAAGCUUUUUUCGGCGUUCUGAUAAUGUGUUGCGAGUUGUAUUUCCGCAGGCCAACGAAAUAAAAGUUUCUUCACUGUUGUACACAAAAAUUUGCCUUCUUAAUUGUAAGAAUCUGAAGAAUUUGUUGAACUAAAUUUUUGAAAUUUUGA